UCCUAGAAUUUCUCUUCUACUAAAGACUACAGCUCUCCUCUUCUUCCCCACUGGAUGUUUCUAGUAACGGUCUUGGACGUUAGGCUAUUGUCGAUUGUCUCUCUCAUCGUAGUGCUUCUUCAUCUUGUGACCAAGAAGUCUAGGCGUUCAUCUUCUCGUUCUUCUGGGAUGCGCUACGUUCAUCAUUCACAUUCCAGAGUCAGCGGUCGUGCCUCUUUUAGGCAGAGUGAAAGUUUCUACCAGACAUUCGCAUGUGCUUCGUUCAACACCACAUGACCAUGAACGUCAUAGUUAAUUGGUGCUUCCAACAGAAGAAGCAAAUUGGUGGGCCCGGCACAAUUGUUGAAAUCGAUGAGGCGAAGUUUGGGAGAAGAAAAUACAACGUAGGUCGCCUCAUCGAAGGGCAGUGGGUGUUCGGUGGUAUCUGCAGGCAGACCCGGGAGUUUUUCAUUGUUCCCGUACCCGACAGGACAAGUGGGACUCUGCUUGUAGUUAUCAAAGAAUACAUUGUGCCGGGUACUACUAUUAUUUCUGACUGUUGGAGGGCUUAUGACUGCCUGGGAGAUGAAGGUUAUGUCCACUUGACAGUCAACCACUCGAUGAACUUUGUGGACCCAGAAACUGGUGCCCAUACUAAUACAAUCGAGAGGAGGUGGAGAGAACUCCGGCAGUCGAUUCCAAGAUACGGGAGGAGAAUGUACAACUUCGUAGGGUACUUGGCUGUUGCUUAUUUCAAGCUGCAUUUUGAGGAACACAAGACCCGCCUCCACGUAUUCUUAAAGGCAGCUGCUGCUUUGUACCCUCCACCCCUUUAAGAUAAACCAAUAACAUUCGGGUCUCCUCUCAGAUCGAAGGACAGACUGGACAAGAAGCUUACUAAAAGUUCGUGUCUGUAGCCAUCACGGUGUUAGUCAUAAGAUGGUAGGUAGAUUAUCCAGGCCUGAAUAGUCAAACAUCCGUAAUCACUCUACAAUCUGUAAAAUGCAGAUUGAUUUGAAAAAAAUCCCAAAUUAUAGCUACAGCUCAGCAAGAGGACGGUUUUACGGCUUCGAAAUCAAUUGUCUUAAUAAAUACCUCGUUCCAUCGUUGAAUACCCACACCUCUUCCACACCUUUGUUUAUCACCUAACUGUUCUUCUAUUCUGUUAAUUCCUGCUUGUUUUACUCUCUCAUGUUUGGUCACUUUUUAAUUGCCUACUGGUAGGUUCAUUUUAGGUAAUUCAAUAAAUGUAUUUUUAUAAAGGGAUUGUAUAUAGUGACUUUUUUUGCCUUCCAACUACGAUCUUGUUAUUCUUGUUGGGAGGUUAGGACAGGUAAAUGGAAGAGCCUAAAAAGGUCUGAAAAAGGUAUUCCGCAUUGAGUUAAAACUGUUAAAGAUACAGGCAUUUUAAGACAGGAUAUUUAUGAUUUAGUUAUUAGAAUGACAAUGUAAAAACUAAAUAAUGUGCAUAUAUCAUAUUUAUUUUAAUUUUUCAUUGUGAAACACGGCUCUAUUUGACCAUAGAUUUCAACACAUUUUAAGUUAUUUUGGUGUACUGAAUUUAGAGGCUGUAUUUCUGUUCAAUUACAGGCAGUCCCUGGUUGUCGGCAGACUCGGUUAAUGGUGAGCUGGUUUUAUGCGCUCGUCUAGCCCCAUAAAAUUGGUGAUUUAUGGCGUCAUAAUGCACCGAGUUCCAGUUAUCAGUGCCAUAAGGUGCCAAUAAUAGAUUUAUGGCGCCAAGACAUGCCUCAAGGAGGUGCCAUUAACCGGUUAUCGGUGCCAUUAACCGGAUGUUGGCGCCAUAAGCACCAUAAAUCACCAAGUUUUGGUUAAUGGCGGUUUUUGCUUAUCAGUACCCUACCACGAUAACCGGGGACUGCCUGUAUUUGUGUUUCCACCUCUAACUGAGAAUAUAUGAACAUGUUUAAUUUGUGUACUUUUAAUUUGAUCCUUGUUGUUAGUAUGAGAAGUAGUACUAAGUAUGAGUAUUAACCUAGAAGACCACUUCAUGUUAAGUUAGGAAUAUCAUGUUUGCAACUUAUGCAUGAGGGGAAAAUCUUGCUUGCGUCCCGAGUAAAUAGGAGGUUGGAUCACACCUUGUUUUUUUAAAUAUGUUAUUGUAGCCUGAAAAAUACAAUGGAUCCUUGUGAAAUGCCGUUGGCCAUAAUAAACAAUGAUAAUUGU